AUGGCUCAGGAUGAACGCUAGCGGCAGGCUUAACACAUGCAAGUCAGGGGCAUCGGGAGUAGCAAUACUGCCGGCGACCGGCGCAAAGGGUGCGUAACGCGUGAGCAACAUGCCCGUAUCAGGGGGAUAAUCCAUGGAAACGUGGUCUAAUACCCCAUAGUAAUUAUGUAAGGCAUCUUAUAUAAUUUAAAGCUUUGGUGGAUACGGAUUGGCUCGCGUGACAUUAGCUGGAUGGUAAGGUAACGGCUUACCAUGGCUACGAUGUCUAGGGGUUCUGAGAGGAAGGUCCCCCACACUGGAACUGAGACACGGUCCAGACUCCUACGGGAGGCAGCAGUGAGGAAUAUUGGACAAUGGAUGGAAAUCUGAUCCAGCCAUGUCGCGUGCAAGGAAGACGGCCCUAUGGGUUGUAAACUGCUUUUGUAUGGGAGCAAUAAGGGCUACGUGUAGUCCGAUGAGAGUACCAUACGAAUAAGCACCGGCUAACUCCGUGCCAGCAGCCGC
rnacentral:rRNA from 1 species